rnacentral:rRNA from 1 species
AUUGAACGCUGGCGGCAGGCCUAACACAUGCAAGUCGAGCGAGCGGCGGACGGGUGAGUAAUGUAUGGGGAUCUGCCUGAUAGAGGGGGAUAACUACUGGAAACGGUGGCUAAUACCGCAUACUAUCGGAUGAACCCAUAUGGGAUUAGCUCGUUGGUGGGGUAAAGGCUCACCUAGGCGACGAUCCCUAGCUGGUCUGAGAGGAUGAUCAGCUACACUGGGACUGAUACACGGCCCAGAAUCCGACGGGAGGCAGCAGUGGGGAAUAUGGCACAAUGGGCGCAAGCCUGAUGCAUCCAUGCCGCGUGUAUGAAGAAGGCCUUAGGGUUGUAAAGUACUUUCAGCGGGGAGGCGUUACCCGCAGAAGAAGCACCGGCUAACUCCGUGCCAGCAGCCGCGGUAAUAC